rnacentral:rRNA from 1 species
UGGUGGAGUGAUUUGUCUGGUAAAUUCCGUUAACGAACGAGACCUCGACCUACUAAAUAGUUCGACGAAUUCUUCGGAAUUCGUACGUAACUUCUUAGAGGGACUAUCGGUGGUUAGCCGAUGGAAGUUCGAGGCAAUAACA